AACGAACGCUGGCGGCAGGCCUAACACAUGCAAGUCGAACGAGAUCUUCGGAUCUAGUGGCGGACGGGUGAGUAACGCGUGAGAAACCUGCCCUAUACAGGGGGAUAGCCAUUGGAAACGAUGAUUAAUACCCCAUAUGACCACAGUAUCGCAUGAUACAGCGGUGAAAACUCCGGUGGUAUAGGAUGGUCUCGCGUCUGAUUAGCUAGUUGGUGGGGUAACGGCCUACCAAGGCGACGAUCAGUAGCCGGCCUGAGAGGGUGACCGGCCACACUGGAACUGAGACACGGUCCAGACUCCUACGGGAGGCAGCAGUGGGGAAUAUUGCACAAUGGGCGAAAGCCUGAUGCAGCGACGCCGCGUGAACGAUGAAGGCUUUCGAGUCGUAAAGUUCUGUUCUUGGGGAAGAUAACGACGGUACCCAAGGAGAAAGCACCGGCUAAAUACGUGCCAGCCGCCGCGGUAAU
rnacentral:rRNA from 1 species